rnacentral:misc_RNA from 1 species
GAUGAAGAACGUAGCGAAACGCGAUAAGUAAUGUGAAUUGCAGAAUCCAGUGAAUCAUCGAAUCUUUGAACGCACAUUGCGCCCGCCAGCAUUCUGGCGGGCAUGCCUGUUCGAGCGUCAUUUCAACCCUCGACCUCCCCUUGGGGAGGUCGGCGUUGGGGACCGGCAGCACACCGCCGGCCCUGAAAUGGAGUGGCGGCCCGUCCGCGGCGACCUCUGCGCAGUAAUACAGCUCGCACCGGGACCCCGACGCGGCCACGCCGUAAAACACCCAACUUCUGAACGUUGACCUCGAAUCAGGUAGGACUACCCGCUGAACUUAAGCAUAUUCAAUAAGCGGAGGA